UCAUUGACGAUUCUUCUCUUUUUGAUGCGAUUCCCUCUCUUUUCUCUCUUCUCUCCACUGUAGGUGGCGGUUUCUCUGCCACCCUUCUCCUCUUUCUUCAUUUUCUUCUUUCUUUUUCCUUCUCUGGCAUGUCCUGGGUUGAGUGGGCCAGGUUGGGCUUUUAAACCCAAUCCUUAAUAAAUUUGGACUACACGACUGUGUGUACAUGGCCGCAUAUAGUUUGUUGGAUAACCUCAUUAA
rnacentral:lncRNA from 1 species